CAGGCUCGGGGGCUUGAAACAACAGAAAUCUAUUUUCUCACAGUUCUGGAGGCUGCAAGUCUCAGGUCAAGGUUCCCGCUGGUUCCGUUUCUGGGGAGGCUCCUUCCUGGCUCGCAGAGGCUGGUGUGUGGCCUGUCCCGGGAGAGUGCCCCUGCAGGCUAUUUUCCACACCAGUAAGUACAGGCAGCAAGACAGCCACUGGCUCAAGUUCUCCCAAGGACUAAAGUCACAUGGCUCAGUCUUCCGAUUGUUUAGCUCCUUCUCUGGCUAAUCUGUCAGCUUCUUCAUUGCCUAUAAAUCCCGAAUGACCAGGAACAUGCAUCUG
rnacentral:lncRNA from 1 species